UACGAAGGGGGCUAGCGUUGUUCGGAUUUACUGGGCGUAAAGCGCACGUAGGCGGGUUGUUAAGUCAAGGGUGAAAUCCUGGAGCUCAACUCCAGAACUGCCUUUGAUACUGGCAACCUAGAGGCUGGAAGAGGUUAGUGGAAUUCCCAGUGUAGAGGUGAAAUUCGUAGAUAUUGGGAAGAACACCAGUGGCGAAGGCGGCUAACUGGUCCAGAUCUGACGCUGAGGUGCGAAAGCGUGGGGAGCAGACAGG
rnacentral:rRNA from 1 species